rnacentral:rRNA from 1 species
AAAUUGAAGAGUUUGAUCAUGGCUCAGAUUGAACGCUGGCGGCAGGCCUAACACAUGCAAGUCGAACGGUAACAGGAAGCAGCUUGCUGCUUCGCUGACGAGUGGCGGACGGGUGAGUAAUGUCUGGGAAACUGCCUGAUGGAGGGGGAUAACUACUGGAAAUGGUGGCUAAUACCGCAUAACGUCGCAAGACCAAAGAGGGGGACCUUCGGGCCUCUUGCCAUCAGAUGUGCCCAGAUGGGAUUAGCUUGUUGGUGAGGUAACGGCUCACCAAGGCGACGAUCCCUAGCUGGUCUGAGAGGAUGACCAGCCACACUGGAACUGAGACACGGUCCAGACUCCUACGGGAGGCAGCAGUGGGGAAUAUUGCACAAUGGGCGCAAGCCUGAUGCAGCCAUGCCGCGUGUAUGAAGAAGGCCUUCGGGUUGUAAAGUACUUUCAGCGGGGAGGAAGGUGUUGUGGUUAAUAACCACAGCAAUUGACGUUACCCGCAGAAGAAGCACCGGCUAACUCCGUGCCAGCAGCCGCGGUA